CACAAAUAUUCACACUUGCUCAGUCUUGAAGAACUCUCUGAACUUUCGAAGUUCCUCGGUUCCUGCUUUGUCCCUAUGUGAAGAGAGAGAUGGAAUCUCCGAUCAGCUCAUACGAGGAUAUUCGAAGGAGGAGAGUUGAAGAAAAUCAAAAGCAGCUUGAGGGCCUUGGAAUUUCGAGGAUCUCAAAAUGUCUUCUUGAAGUUGCAAAGACUGAACACAAGCAAUUGUUCAUAGGAUGAGACAAUUCUUCCAUUUAGCUGGCCAAGGGAACACUCCAUGAAUUUAAUAUCUCACCGCUUUCUGGCUAUG